CUGGGCCGGCUCUCUACUCUCUGGGCCGAAGGAAAAGCGGGCAGAUGGUCCCCAGAAAGGAGAUGAGCGCACACGUGCGCUGGGGGUACAGGGGCCAAGGCUGAAACUGACAGGACUUCAAUCAGUUGCCUCUUCAGGCAACUCUUCCAGGCAGCCCUCCAGCCAGAGACCAGGAAUGGAGUGGCAGAAGGGGACAUCAGUGGGACGCCUGGGUGGCUCGGUCAUGAAGCAUUUGCCUUAGGCUCAGGUCAUGAUCUCAGGGUCUUGGGAUUGAGCCCCACAUCGGGCUCCCUGCUCCACGGGGAGCCUGCUUCUCCCCCAGCUCGUGCUCUCAAAUAAAUAAAAAAAAUAUUUUUUAAAAAAAGAAGAGGGCAUCAGAGAGCU